rnacentral:rRNA from 1 species
AUAUUGCACAAUGGGGGAAACCCUGAUGCAGCGACGCCGCGUGAGCGAAGAAGUAUUUCGGUAUGUAAAGCUCUAUCAGCAGGGAAGAAAAUGACGGUACCUGACUAAGAAGCUCCGGCUAAAUACGUGCCAGCAGCCGCGGUAAUACGUAUGGAGCAAGCGUUAUCCGGAUUUACUGGGUGUAAAGGGAGCGUAGACGGCGAGGCAAGUCUGAUGUGAAAGGCAGGGGCUUAACCCCUGGACUGCAUUGGAAACUGUCAGGCUAGAGUGCCGGAGAGGUAAGCGGAAUUCCUAGUGUAGCGGUGAAAUGCGUAGAUAUUAGGAGGAACACCAGUGGCGAAGGCGGCUUACUGGACUGUAACUGACGUUGAGGCUCGAAAGCGUGGGGAGCAAACAG